rnacentral:rRNA from 1 species
GGUCACCGUUAUCAGGUUUCGACUAAGCCAUGCGAGGCGUGAGUCAUCUGGACUCGCCGAACUGCUCAGUAACACGUAGCUAAUCUGCCCUCAAGUGGAGGAUAAUCCUGAGAAAUUGGGGCUAAUACUCCAUAGCUGUUAAAUGCUGGAAUGCUUUAACAGCCAAAGCUUCGGCGCUUGAGGAUGAGGCUGCGGUCUAUCAUGACUGUUGUGAGUAUAAAAUACUCACAAAUCUAUAACGGAUAGGGGCCAUGAGAGUGGGAGCCUCGAGAUGCCUUCUGAGACAUGAAGGCAGGUCCUACGGGACGCAGCAGGUACGAAAACUUUCCAAUUCCUGAGAGGGUGAGAAGGGAAGCCUGAGUGAUUAUGCACUGCAUAGUCUUUUGUUUUGCCUAAAUAGCAAGACGAAUAAGUGGUGGGCAAGACGGGUGGCAGCCGCCGCGGUAAUACCCGCGCCACGAAUGGUGACCACGAUUAUUGGGUCUAAAGCGUCCGUAGCCGGUUCAACAAGUUCUUGGUGAAAUCCAGCAGUUAACUGUUGGGCAUGCUGAGAAUACUGUUGGACUUGGGAUCGGGAGAGGAAAGAUGUAUUCCACGUGUAGGGGUUAAA